GUAUGCUGUCUCUUAAGUCUGAUGUGAAAGCCCCCGGAUCAACCGGGAACGGUCAUUGGAAACUGGGAGACUUGAGUGCAGAAAAGGAGAGUGGAAUUCCAUGUGUAGACACAGAAAUGCGCAGAGAUAUGGAGGAACACCAGUGGCGAAGGCGGCUCUCUGGUCUGUAACUGACGCUGAGGUGCGAAAGCGUGGGGAUCAAACAGGAUUAGAAACCCGAGUAGUCCCGCCGUUACGAUGAGUGCUAAGUGUUGGGGGGUUACCGC
rnacentral:rRNA from 1 species